rnacentral:rRNA from 1 species
AUUGAACGCUGGCGGCAGGCUUAACACAUGCAAGUCGAGCGGGGGAAGGUAGCUUGCUACCGGACCUAGCGGCGGACGGGUGAGUAAUGCUUAGGAAUCUGCCUAUUAGUGGGGGACAGCAUCUCGAAAGGGAUGCUAAUACCGCAUACGUCCUACGGGAGAAAGCAGGGGAUCUUCGGACCUUGCGCUAAUAGAUGAGCCUAAGUCGGAUUAGCUAGUUGGUGGGGUAAAGGCCUACCAAGGCGACGAUCUGUAGCGGGUCUGAGAGGAUGAUCCGCCACACUGGGACUGAGACACGGCCCAGACUCCUACGGGAGGCAGCAGUGGGGAAUAUUGGACAAUGGGGGGAACCCUGAUCCAGCCAUGCCGCGUGUGUGAAGAAGGCCUUAUGGUUGUAAAGCACUUUAAGCGAGGAGGAGGCUACUUUAGUUAAUUCCUGGAGAUAGUGGACGUUACUCGCAGAAUAAGCACCGGCUAACUCUGUGCCAGCCGCCGCCGUAA